UGGGGAAUAUUGCACAAUGGGGGAAACCCUGAUGCAGCGACGCCGCGUGAGCGAAGAAGGCUUUCGAGUCGUAAAGCUCUGUCCUAUGAGAAGAUAAUGACGGUAUCAUAGGAGGAAGCCCUGGCUAAAUACGUGCCAGCAGCCGCGGUAAUACGUAUGGGGCGAGCGUUGUCCGGAAUUAUUGGGCGUAAAGGGUACGUAGGUGGUUUUUUAAGUCAGGUGUCAAAGCGUGGAGCUUAACUCCAUUAAGCACUUGAAACUGAAAGACUUGAGUGAAGGAGAGGAAAGUGGAAUUCCUAGUGUAGCGGUGAAAUGCGUAGAUAUUAGGAGGAAUACCGGUGGCGAAGGUGACUUUCUGGACUUGUACUGACGCUCAGGUACGAAAGCGUGGGGAGCAAACAGG
rnacentral:rRNA from 1 species